rnacentral:rRNA from 1 species
AGUGAACGCUGGCGGUAGGCCUAACACAUGCAAGUCGAACGGCAGCACAGUAAGAGCUUGCUCUUACGGGUGGCGAGUGGCGGACGGGUGAGGAAUACAUCGGAAUCUACUUUUUCGUGGGGGAUAACGUAGGGAAACUUACGCUAAUACCGCAUACGACCUACGGGUGAAAGCAGGGGAGCUUCGGACCUUGCGCGAUUGAAUGCGCCGAUGUCGGAUUAGCUAGUUGGCGGGGUAAAGGCCCACCAAGGCGACGAUCCGUAGCUGGUCUGAGAGGAUGAUCAGCCACACUGGGACUGAGACACGGUCCAGACUCCUACGGGAGGCAGCAGUGGGGAAUAUUGGACAAUGGGCGCAAGCCUGAUCCAGCCAUACCGCGUGUGUGAAGAAGGCCUUCGGGUUGUAAAGCCCUUUUGUUGGGAAAGAAAAGCAGCAGGUUAAUACCCCGCGGUUCUGACGGUACCCAAAGAAUAAGCACCGGCUAACUUCGUG